rnacentral:rRNA from 1 species
GCCUCAGUACGGCGAGUGAGCGGCAAAAGCUCAAAUUUGAAAUCUAGCACCUUCGGUGUUCGAGUUGUAAUUUGAAGAUGGUAACCUUGGGUUUGGCUCUUGUCUAUGUUCCUUGGAACAGGACGUCAUAGAGGGUGAGAAUCCCGUCUGAUGAGAUGCCCAUUCCUAUGUAAGGUGCUAUCGAAGAGUCGAGUUGUUUGGGAAUGCAGCUCUAAGUGGGUGGUAAAUUCCAUCUAAAGCUAAAUAUUGGCGAGAGACCGAUAGCGAACAAGUACAGUGAUGGAAAGAUGAAAAGAACUUUGAAAAGAGAGUGAAAAAGUACGUGAAAUUGUUGAAAGGGAAGGGCAUUAGAUCAGACUUGGUGUUUUACGAUUAUCUUCUCUUCUUGAGUUGUGCACUCGUAUUUCACUGGGCCAGCAUCGAUUCGGAUGGCAAGAUAAUGGCAGUUGAAUGUGGCUUCACUUCGGUGGAGUGUUAUAGCUUCUGCUGAUAUUGCCUGUCUGGAUCGAGGGCUGCGUCUUUUGACUAGGAUGCUGGCGUAAUGAUCUAAUGCCGCCCGUCU